rnacentral:rRNA from 1 species
GCGAUCAGAUACCGCCCUAGUUCUGACCGUAAACGAUGCCAACUAGCGAUCCGCCAGUCGACUCAUCGCUCUGGUGGGGAGCUUCCCGGAAACGAAAGUCUUCCGGUUCCGGGGGAAGUAUGGUUGCAAAGCUGAAACUUAAAGGAAUUGACGGAAGGGCACCACCAGGAGUGGAGCCUGCGGCUUAAUUUGACUCAACACGGGGAAACUCACCCGGCCCGGACACCGUAAGGAUUGACAGAUUGAUAGCUUUUUCAUGAUUCGGUGGAUGGUGGUGCAUGGCCGUUCUUAGUUCGUGGAGCGAUUUGUCUGGUUUAUUCCGAUAACGAGCGAGACUCUGGCCUACUAAAUAGUUGACGCAUUGCCACUGUGCGCACAACUUCUUAGAGGGAUUUUCGGUGUUUUCAACCGCACGAAAUUGAGCAAUAACAGGUUUGUGAUGCCCUUAGAUGUCCGGGGCUGCACGCGCGCUACACUGGCAAACGCAACGUGCCUGUCCUGCCCCGAAAGGAGCGGGUAAACCCCUGAAAUUUUGCCGUGAUUGGGAUCGGACAUUGCAACUAUUGUCCGUGAACGAGGAAUUCCUUGUAGGGGCGAGUCAUCAACUCGUCCCGAAUACGUCCCUGCCCUUUGUA